ensembl:lncRNA
UUUUAGUAGUGGGUUUUAGUAGUGGGUUUUAGUAGUUUUGGGUUUUUGUAGUGGGUUUUAGUAGUAGUGGGUUUUAGUAGUGGGUUUUAGUAGUAGUGGGUUUUAGUAGUGGGUUUUAGUAGUGGGUUUUAGUAGUAGUGGGUUUUAGUAGAGGGGUUUUGUAGUGGGUUUUAGUAGUAGUACUUCAGCUCCACGCCAGCUGUGCUCUCAGGAUGGGUAUCAGCUCAUUGUCUAUGUCAUCAGAGGUCAGUGCAUACUG